rnacentral:rRNA from 1 species
AUUGAACGCUGGCGGCAGGCCUAACACAUGCAAGUCGAACGAGUGGCGGACGGGUGAGUAAUGUCUGGGACACUGCCUUAUGGAGGGGGAUCACUACUGGAAACGGUAGCUAAUACCGCAUACCCUCGGAUGUGCCCAGAUGGGAUUAGCUAGUAGGGGGGGUAAAGGCUCACCUAGGCGACGAGCCCUCGCUGGUCUGAGAGGAGUACCAGCCACAGUGGAACGGAGACACGGUCCAGACUCCUACGGGAGGCAGCAGUGGGGAAUAUUGCACAAGGGGCGCAAGCCUGAUGCAGCCAUGCCGCGUGUAUGAAGAAGGCCUUCGGGUUGUAAAGUACUUUCAGCGGGGAGGCGUUACCCGCAGAAGAAGCACCGGCUAACUCCGUGCCAGCAGCCGCGGUAAUAC